UACAGGGGGUGCAAGCGUUGCUCGGAAUCACUGGGCGUAAAGCGUGCGCAGGCGGAACGUUAAGUCGGAUGUGAAAUCCCGGGGCUCAACCCCGGAACUGCAUUCGAAACUGGCGAUCUUGAGUGCGGCAGAGGUGAGUGGAAUUCCUGGUGUAGAGGUGAAAUUCGUAGAUAUCAGGAGGAACACCGGUGGCAAAAGCGGCUCACUGGGCCGACACUGACGCUCAUGCACGAAAGCGUGGGGAGCAAACAGG
rnacentral:rRNA from 1 species